rnacentral:rRNA from 1 species
UACGAAGGGGGCUAGCGUUGUUCGGAAUCACUGGGCGUAAAGCGCACGUAGGCGGAUGUGCCAGUCAGGGGUGAAAUCCCGGAGCUCAACUUCGGAACUGCCUCUGAUACAGCACGUCUAGAGUCCGGAAGAGGUGGGUGGAAUUCCUAGUGUAGAGGUGAAAUUCGUAGAUAUUAGGAAGAACACCGGUGGCGAAGGCGGCCCACUGGUCCGGUACUGGCGCUCAAGUGCGAAAGCGUGGGGAGCAAACGGG